GGAGGGAUCAUUACCGAGUUUACAACUCCCAAACCCCUGUGAACAUACCAUUUGUUGCCUCGGCGGUGCCUGCUUCGGCAGCCCGCCAGAGGACCCAAACCCUUGAUUUUAUACAGUAUCUUCUGAGUAAAUGAUUAAAUAAAUCAAAACUUUCAACAACGGAUCUCUUGGUUCUGGCAUCGAUGAAGAACGCAGCGAAAUGCGAUAAGUAAUGUGAAUUGCAGAAUUCAGUGAAUCAUCGAAUCUUUGAACGCACAUUGCGCCCGCCAGUAUUCUGGCGGGCAUGCCUGUUCGAGCGUCAUUUCAACCCUCAAGCCCCCGGGCUUGGUGUUGGAGAUCGGCGUGCCCCCCGGGGCGCGCCGGCUCCCAAAUAUAGUGGCGGUCUCGCUGUAGCUUCCUCUGCGUAGUAGCACACCUCGCACUGGAAAACAGCGUGGCCACGCCGUUAAACCCCCCACUUCUGAAAGGUUGACCUCGGAUCAGGUAGGAAUACCCGCUGAACUUAAGCAUAUCAAUAAGCGGAGGAAAAGAAACCAACAGGGAUUGCCCUAGUAACGGCGAGUGAAGCGGCAACAGCUCAAAUUUGAAAUCUGGCCCUCGGGUCCGAAUUGUAAUUUGUAGAGGAUGCUUUUGGUGAGGUACCUUCCGAGUUCCCUGGAACGGGACGCCAUAGAGGGUGAGAGCCCCGUCUGGUUGGAUACCGAUCCUCUGUAAAGCUCCUUCGACGAGUCGAGUAGUUUGGGAAUGCUGCUCUAAAUGGGAGGUAUAUGUCUUCUAAAGCUAAAUAUUGGCCAGAGACCGAUAGCGCACAAGUAGAGUGAUCGAAAGAUGAAAAGCACUUUGAAAAGAGAGUUAAAAAGUACGUGAAAUUGUUGAAAGGGAAGCGCUCAUGACCAGACUUGGGCUUGGUUGAUCAUCCAGGGUUCUCCCUGGUGCACUCUUCCAGCCCAGGCCAGCAUCAGUUCGCUGUGGGGGAUAAAGGCUUUGGGAAUGUGGCUCCUCCGGGAGUGUUAUAGCCCAUUGUGUAAUACCCUGUGGUGGACUGAGGUUCGCGCAUCUGCAAGGAUGCUGGCGUAAUGGUCAUCAGCGACCCGUCUUGAAACACGGACCAAGGAGUCGUCUUCGUAUGCGAGUGUUCGGGUGUUAAACCCCUACGCGUAAUGAAAGUGAACGCAGGUGAGAGCUUCGGCGCAUCAUCGACCGAUCCUGAUGUUCUCGGAUGGAUUUGAGUAAGAGCAUACGGGGCCGGACCCGAAAGAAGGUGAACUAUGCCUGUAUAGGGUGAAGCCAGAGGAAACUCUGGUGGAGGCUCGCAGCGGUUCUGACGUGCAAAUCGAUCGUCAAAUAUGGGCAUGGGGGCGAAAGACUAAUCGAACCUUCUAGUAGCUGGUUUCCGC
rnacentral:misc_RNA from 1 species